AUGCCCCACCGUAAAAUAUUAACUCACACCAGCCAACGCCAGGGUAUUACGAGCCCCAGCUUAAAACCCAAAGGACUUGACGGUGUCCUAUCCAACUAGAGGAGCCUGUUCUAUAAUCGAUAACCCCCGAUAUACCCAACCCCAUUUUGCCAAUCAGUCUGUAUACCUCCGUCGAAAGCUUACCAUAUGAAUGCCCCUAGUAAGUUUAAGGGUUUAACAUACCAACACGUCAGGUCAAGGUGCAACUUAUAAUGAGGAAAGCAAUGGGCUACAGUUUCUAACAUAGAAUAUACGAAAUGCUACAUGAAACAUAGCCACGAAGGCGGAUUUAGCAGUAAAAAGAAAAUAAUGUGUUCUUUUUAACAAGGCCCUAGGACGUGUACACACCGCCCGUCACCCUCUUCAACAGUUCAUAAAAGUUCUUAACAUCAACCUACGCCUUAGAAGAGGCAAGUCGUAACAUGGUAAGUGUACCGGAAGGUGUACUUGGUUUU
rnacentral:rRNA from 1 species